UCUCGGUCUUCCCAAGAUUUCUGGACACACCAGGACUGAUAGAACAAGAUUUCAGACUUCUGUUUGGUGAGGCCACAGCCAACAAAUUCUUGGAGAAGUGGCCAACCACUUUCAAAGCAAAAGUAAUAAAGGAAAGCCAUGGACUUGUAUCCACCACAGAACUCUUGGAUUUGAUGCGCAAUGCUGAGUCAGCUGCUGAAGUUGAGAAUGGCUGGGACAGUGACAUGUCUGCCAUCUUGCUGCUGCUACAUUUGCUACCACCAUCUGCACAAGGUAGAAAGAGGCCGGGAAAGAUGUCUGCAUAUCAAGCUGUAGAUCAGCUCAUCAGAUUUCAAAAGGUUGGAACCAGUGUGCAGCAGCAUCUUGACAACAUCACCCAAAGCAGUCAGCCCUACCUUCUCGCCCAGGGAUCCACACAGAGCAGCAUUCACUCCUACUUCAUUGUGGUUGACAAGCAUGCUCUUCCAUGCAAGGCAACAGGUUCAGUAGGAGCU